CACUUUAAUUGCAUCUAAAGGAAUUAUUAACGACUUCCCCUGUGUGAAGACACUGACAGGAAUUGAGCUUCUGGACAUAGUAAACAGCCUAUCACCUGGUGUGGUUAAAGUCAGCUGUUUUUAUGAAGUCCAAACUGAAAGGUCUGAAUACAGUGACUCCAGCACCAUCACCAUACAGACUUCUCCUCCACCCAAACUCACCAUUGAUCCACCAGUGAUCACAGAGACAGACUCAGUCACACUGAGGUGUGAGCCUCCAUCGUCUGUUUCUGUGUCUCAGUGUCAUUUCUACACUGUGAGUGGACGGACAGUCAGAGACUUCCCAUGUCUGAAGACACUGACAGGAAGUGAGCUGCUGCAGAUGGCAAGUCUCACAUCACCUGCUGAAGUCAAAGUAACAUGUUGUUACACUGUAAAGCGUCAAUCUCCAUACAGUGAUGUAUCCUAUAUCACCGUACAAAG